rnacentral:misc_RNA from 1 species
GAGUUAUGUUCGUCGAUGAAUCUAAGAUUAUCCCUAAAGAUCUCAAACCGCUUCUCCUUCUCCCCCAAAGCAUUGUAGGCUUUGCCAUGUUUCAUCAGCCAAAUCUCGUAAAUUCUUCGAAUCUGAGCCUCGGUUCUUUCUGGUUGUGGGUUUUGUCCAUGCCUGAUAUUGUAAUCAAUAAUGGACAUAUCCAACGCAAGGGAGAUUGAAAACAACGAAAGCAAGACGAACAAGGCGAGAGAUCUCCCAGGAGGAGCCAUGGCUGGGGAAUGGUAGGUUGGUUGAUUGGUUGGUGAAAUGAGUGAAUUUGCGAUGUGGGUAUUUGAUUGUUGUAUAGAAGGUUGCGUGGGUGUAUUUUAUAAAUAGGAGAUGGCGAAGCAAGAGAGAAGACGUUGAAGAUGAGAGGAAUUACAGAGACGAAGCUGGAUUGAAACAGGAGAUGUUUCUCGUCACGCAAGGUCUCGGGGUUGGUUGUUGGACUUGGACCCACCUAAAUUUAGAGAACUGCGUGGGUGUCCAUCAGCU